UGAUUUGGGUCGGAAGGGACCUUGAAGACCAUUUAGUUUCAUCCUCACUGCCAUGGACAGGGACCUUUUCAUUAGACCAGGUUUCUCAAAUCUCCUUGAACACUUCCAGGGAUGGGGCAUCCACAACUUCUCUGGAGAACCUGUUCUGGUGCCUCACCAUCCUUAAUAUGCUGUUUCACUGGUUACCUCCUUCCCACCACACCCUUUCCUCCAUCAGCAGCCCACCAGCUCUGACAGGCACACCAUCCCAUUUCUGCCCAUCCGGGAAACAACAUCCAGCCUGAAACCUUAUAAUGCACACUCACUCAUCUCGCUCACUAGGCGAGCUGGUGCCAAUAACAGAGUUGACAUCAAAGGGCAGAAUGCCCUGAUUUGCACUGCCUGGCCAUAAACUGUCUAAACUCUACCCCCAGCACCCCAUCCCUAUGACCUCUGGGGUGCUAUAUUUACCAGGGCACUCUGUGUGCUAAGUCAAUGUGGAAAUCGGUGGAAAGCCUUCCUGCUCUAUUGUGAAGCUGGACUGAAACGAUUUGCAUUGGGAGCCAGCAGGAAUUCAGCUCAGAAAGGGAUCAGUGGUUAUGUGAGAUAGGAGAGUCCUACAGAGAAGUCACAGUUGUGGAUUGUUCCCUAGCUGAACUGCUGCAUCUCUCAUGAAAAUUGGAGCAGCCCCAAGACAAAAUGCAAUUGUUGAUCUUUAACAUGUCGUGAGAAUGAAAAGAGAAAUUACAUUGCAAGCAGGCAGUAAACAAGGAGAAAAUUU